GACGAACGCUGGCGGCGUGCUUAACACAUGCAAGUCGAACGGAAAGGCCCUGCUUUUGUGGUGUGCUCGGGUGGCGAACGGGUGAGUAACACGUGAGUAACGUGCCCUUGACUUUGGGAUAGCUUCAGGAAGCUGGGGCUAAUCCCGGAUCGGAGCUCCUGCUGCAUGGUGGGGGUGGGAUCGUUUCGGCGGUUGCGGAUGGAUGCGCGGCUGAUCGGCUUGUUGGUGGGGUAGUGGCUUACCAAGGCUUUGACCGAUAGCCGGCCUGAGAGGGUGGCCGGCGACAUUGGGACUGAGAGACGGCGCAGUCUCCAACGGGAGGCAGCAGUGGGGAAUAUUGCACAAUGGGCGGAAGCCUGAUGCAGCAACGCCGCGUGCGGGAUGACGGCCUUCGGGGUGUAAACCGCUGUCGCCUGAGACGAAGCGGGAGUGACGGUAAUGGGUAAAGAAGCACCGGCUAACUACGUG
rnacentral:rRNA from 1 species